GAUAGCUCAAUUUUUAUGUAUUAGGUUGAUACAAAAGUAAUUGUGGUUUUUGCCAUUAGAAGUAAUGGCAAAAUAAAUAGUAACUAAGUAGUUUGAUUUACAUGGUGAUAUUUCUGUGAUCAAAUAGUUUAUAUCAAUCAUC
rnacentral:miRNA from 10 species